rnacentral:rRNA from 1 species
AACGAACGCUGGCGGCAGGCUUAACACAUGCAAGUCGAACGGGUGUAACAAUACACCAGUGGCAGACGGGUGAGUAACACGUGGGAACCUUCCUAGGGGUACGGAACAACUCAGGGAAACUUGAGCUAAUACCGUAUACGUCCGUAAGGAGAAAGAUUCAUCGCCCCUAGACGGGCCGCGUCGGAUUAGUAGUUGGUGGGGUAACGGCCUACCAAGCCUACGAUCCGUAGCUGAUCUGAGAGGA